UCCCCUCUGGUGCUUACCAGAGGUUGUGUUCUUACACUGACCUUACAGAAGAAGAGGAGGCAGAGUAAACCUACCCCGGGUAGGCCUCAGCCCAGGCCCUGCACCUGGUCUGCAUUGUGAAAGGGGAAAUAUGG
rnacentral:snoRNA from 1 species